CUCUGUGUCGUAGCAGACAGAGAGGAUGAGGCAGCAGCUACAACAGUCUUCCUGUUCUUCUUCACAGUGAAGGCUGGAAGAAGAUGUGUGUGAGCUGAUCCUGUGGAUCCAGUCAAUCCAGCAGCAUGGAUCAGUGGGAGGAGACACAGGAGGGAGCCCCUCCCUCUAAAAAAAGGAGAGGUGGAAAACAAAAGAGCCAGAGCAAAGCUCAGAGGAGCCAUUUUCGACCUGGAUCUGAAUCUGGAUCUGAAUCUGGAUCUGAAUCUGGAUUUGAAUCAGAAUCUGAAUCUGGAUCUGAAUCUGGAUCUGGAUCUGAAUCUGGAUCUGAAUCUGGAUCCAGCUGUGUGUCCUUCAGGAGUGACAAGUCAAAGGACUUUAAUCCUGACUUCAAGUCCAUCAGUCCAGGAGUGAAACAGAGCCAUUUUCGACCUGGAUUUGAAUCAGAAUCUGAAUCUGGAUCUGAAUCUGGAUCUGGAUCUGAAUCUGGAUCUGAAUCUGGAUCUGAAUCUGGAUUUGAAUCAGAAUCUGAAUCUGGAUCUGAAUCUGAAUCUGGAUCUGAAUCUGAAUCUGAAUCUGGAUCUGGAUCUGGAUCUGAAUCAGGAUCUGGAUCUGAAUCUGAAUCUGGAUCUGAAUCUGGAUCCAGCUGUGUGUCCUUCAGGAGUGACAAGUCAAAGGACUUUAAUCCUGACUUCAAGUCCAUCAGUCCAGGAGUGAAACAGAGCCAUUUUCGACCUGGAUUUGAAUCAGAAUCUGAAUCUGGAUCUGAAUCUGGAUCUGGAUCUGAAUCUGGAUCUGAAUCUGGAUCUGAAUCUGGAUUUGAAUCAGAAUCUGAAUCUGGAUCUGAAUCUGAAUCUGGAUCUGAAUCUGGAUCUGAAUCUGGAUCCAGCUGUGUGUCCUUCAGGAGUGACAAGUCAAAGGACUUUAAUCCUGACUUCAAGUCCAUCAGUCCAGGAGUGAAACAGAGCCAUUUUCGACCUGGAUUUGAAUCAGAAUCUGAAUCUGGAUCUGAAUCUGGAUCUGGAUCUGAAUCUGGAUCUGAAUCUGGAUCUGAAUCUGGAUCUGGAUCUGAAUCUGGAUCUGAAUCUGGAUCUGAAUCUGGAUUUGAAUCAGAAUCUGAAUCUGGAUCUGAAUCUGAAUCUGGAUCUGAAUCUGGAUCCAGCUGUGUGUCCUUCAGGAGUGACAAGUCAAAGGACUUUAAUCCUGACUUCAAGUCCAUCAGUCCAGGAGUGAAACAGAGCCAUUUUCGACCUGGAUCUGAAUCUGGAUCUGGAUCUGGAUCUGAAUCAGGAUUUGAAUCUGAACCUGGAUCUGAAUCUGGAUCCAGCUGUGUGUCCUUCAGGAGUGACAAGUCAAAGGACUUUAAUCCUGACUUCAAGUCCAUCAGUCCAGGAGUGAAACAGAGCCAUUUUCGACCUGGAUUUGAAUCAGAAUCUGAAUCUGAAUCUGAAUCUGGAUCUGGAUCUGAAUCUGGAUCUGAAUCUGGAUCUGAAUCUGGAUCUGGAUCUGAAUCUGGAUCUGAAUCUGAUCUGAAUCUGGUUUGAAUCAGAAUCUGAAUCUGAUCUGAAUCUGAAUCUGGAUCUGAAUCUGGAUCUGAAUCUGGAUCCAGCUGUGUGUCCUUCAGGAGUGACAAGUCAAAGGACUUUAAUCCUGACUUCAAGUCCAUCAGUCCAGGAGUGAAACAGUAAGUGUUUGUCAGAGUUAAAGGAGGCUGGAUAAUAGUUCAGAUGAUCAAUAGUUUUCAGAUAAAUGAUUGAGAUCUGGUUCAGUUUUUGAUCUCUCUGA
ensembl:lncRNA